CCUAACCCAGUCAAAUCGAACGGAACUUUUACAGAUUGAGGUUUGGCCCGAUUGAGGUUAAGUUUGGUGGCGGCCGGGUGAGUAACGCGUGAGUAACCUGCCUUUCACAGGGGGAUAACGUUUGGAAACGAACGCUAAUACCGCAUAACGUAGCGGGGUCGCAUGGCUCUGCUACCAGAGAUUUUAUCGGUGAAAGAUGGACUCGCGUCCGAUUAGGUAGUUGGUGAGGUAACGGCCCACCAAGCCGACGAUCUGUAGCCGGACUGUGAGGUUGAACGGCCACAUUGGGACUGAGACACGGCCCAGACUCAUACGGGAGGCAGCAGUGGGGCAUAUUGCACAAUGGGCGCAAGCCUGAUGCAGCAACGCCGCGUGAGGGAAGUCGGUUUUCGGAUUGUAAACCUCUGUCUUUGGUGACGAAGAAGUGACGGUAGCCAAGGAGGAAGCCACGGCUAACUACGUGCCAGCAGCCGCGGUAAUACGUAGGUGGCAAGCUUUAUCCGGAAUUACUGGGUGUAAAGGGAGCGCAGGCGGGACAGCAAGUCAGCGGUGAAAUUUAUGGGCUCAACCCAUAAACUGCCGUUGAAACUGUUGUUCUUGAGUGGAGUAGAGGCAGGCGGAAUUCCGAGUGUAGCGGUGAAAUGCGUAGAUAUUCGGAGGAACACCAGUGGCGAAGGCGGCCUGCUGGGCUCUAACUGACGCCGAGGCUCGAAAGUGAGCGAGCAAACAGGAUUAGAUACCCUAGUAGUCCACGCCGUAAACAAAAAGAACUAAGUGUGGAGGAAUUCAGUGCCGCAGUUAACGCGAAUAAGUCUCCGCCUGGGGAGUA
rnacentral:rRNA from 1 species